AUGUUGACCAAUUUCAUAUUGUUGAGUUUGUCAUCUAUAUGGAUAUCCUUGCCACAUUUUCUCAUCACCUCCUCCCUGAGCUUCUCUUGCCACUCUGAGUGCGUGCUUAACAAGAACAUAGUCCAGGUGAGCAGCUGCGCGGUGGUCUCAUGUCCAGCUAAGUAAAAAGUCUUGCACUCUUCUAUGAUCUCGUCCAUGCUCAUGAGGGGUUUUUGCACGUGCUCUGGUGCGCAUGCAUGA
rnacentral:rRNA from 1 species